UCCUGACUGACCGAUAGUGAACCAGUACCGUGAGGGAAAGGCGAAAAGAACCCCGGCGAGGGGAGUGAAAAAGAACCUGAAACCGUGUACGUACAAGCAGUGGGAGCACGCUUAGGCGUGUGACUGCGUACCUUUUGUAUAAUGGGUCAGCGACUUAUAUUCUGUAGCAAGGUUAACCGAAUAGGGGAGCCGAAGGGAAACCGAGUCUUAACUGGGCGUUAAGUUGCAGGGUAUAGACCCGAAACCCGGUGAUCUAGCCAUGGGCAGGUUGAAGGUUGGGUAACACUAACUGGAGGACCGAACCGACUAAUGUUGAAAAAUUAGCGGAUGACUUGUGGCUGGGGGUGAAAGGCCAAUCAAACCGGGAGAUAGCUGGUUCUCCCCGAAAGCUAUUUAGGUAGCGCCUCGUGAAUUCAUCUCCGGGGGUAGAGCACUGUUUCGGCAAGGGGGUCAUCCCGACUUACCAACCCGAUGCAAACUGCGAAUACCGGAGAAUGUUAUCACGGGAGACACACGGCGGGUGCUAACGUCCGUCGUGAAGAGGGAAACAACCCAGACCGCCAGCUAAGGUCCCAAAGUCAUGGUUAAGUGGGAAACGAUGUGGGAAGGCCCAGACAGCCAGGAUGUUGGCUUAGAAGCAGCCAUCAUUUAAAGAAAGCGUAAUAGCUCACUGGUCGAGUCGGCCUGCGCGGAAGAUGUAACGGGGCUAAACCAUGCACCGAAGCUGCGGCAGCGACGCUUAUGCGUUGUUGGGUAGGGGAGCGUUCUGUAAGCCUGCGAAGGUGUGCUGUGAGGCAUGCUGGAGGUAUCAGAAGUGCGAAUGCUGACAUAAGUAACGAUAAAGCGGGUGAAAAGCCCGCUCGCCGGAAGACCAAGGGUUCCUGUCCAACGUUAAUCGGGGCAGGGUGAGUCGACCCCUAAGGCGAGGCCGAAAGGCGUAGUCGAUGGGAAACAGGUUAAUAUUCCUGUACUUGGUGUUACUGCGAAGGGGGGACGGAGAAGGCUAUGUUGGCCGGGCGACGGUUGUCCCGGUUUAAGCGUGUAGGCUGGUUUUCCAGGCAAAUCCGGAAAAUCAAGGCUGAGGCGUGAUGACGAGGCACUACGGUGCUGAAGCAACAAAUGCCCUGCUUCCAGGAAAAGCCUCUAAGCAUCAGGUAACAUCAAAUCGUACCCCAAACCGACACAGGUGGUCAGGUAGAGAAUACCAAGGCGCUUGAGAGAACUCGGGUGAAGGAACUAGGCAAAAUGGUGCCGUAACUUCGGGAGAAGGCACGCUGAUAUGUAGGUGAAGUCCCUUGCGGAUGGAGCUGAAAUCAGUCGAAGAUACCAGCUGGCUGCAACUGUUUAUUAAAAACACAGCACUGUGCAAACACGAAAGUGGACGUAUACGGUGUGACGCCUGCCCGGUGCCGGAAGGUUAAUUGAUGGGGUCAGCGCAAGCGAAGCUCUUGAUCGAAGCCCCGGUAAACGGCGGCCGUAACUAUAACGGUCCUAAGGUAGCGAAAUUCCUUGUCGGGUAAGUUCCGACCUGCACGAAUGGCGUAAUGAUGGCCAGGCUGUCUCCACCCGAGACUCAGUGAAAUUGAACUCGCUGUGAAGAUGCAGUGUACCCGCGGCAAGACGGAAAGACCCCGUGAACCUUUACUAUAGCUUGACACUGAACAUUGAGCCUUGAUGUGUAGGAUAGGUGGGAGGCUUUGAAGUGUGGACGCCAGUCUGCAUGGAGCCGGCCUUGAAAUACCACCCUUUAAUGUUUGAUGUUCUAACGUGGACCCGUGAUCCGGGUUGCGGACAGUGUCUGGUGGGUAGUUUGACUGGGGCGGUCUCCUCCUAAAGAGUAACGGAGGAGCACGAAGGUUGGCUAAUCCUGGUCGGACAUCAGGAGGUUAGUGCAAUGGCAUAAGCCAGCUUGACUGCGAGCGUGACGGCGCGAGCAGGUGCGAAAGCAGGUCAUAGUGAUCCGGUGGUUCUGAAUGGAAGGGCCAUCGCUCAACGGAUAAAAGGUACUCCGGGGAUAACAGGCUGAUACCGCCCAAGAGUUCAUAUCGACGGCGGUGUUUGGCACCUCGAUGUCGGCUCAUCACAUCCUGGGGCUGAAGUAGGUCCCAAGGGUAUGGCUGUUCGCCAUUUAAAGUGGUACGCGAGCUGGGUUUAGAACGUCGUGAGACAGUUCGGUCCCUAUCUGCCGUGGGCGCUGGAGAACUGAGGGGGGCUGCUC
rnacentral:rRNA from 1 species